rnacentral:rRNA from 1 species
UUUUGCAUAUCAAUAAGCGGAGGAAAAGAAACCAACAGGGAUUGCCUUAGUAGCGGCGAGUGAAGCGGCAAAAGCUCAAAUUUGAAAUCUGGCGCCUUCGGUGUCCGAGUUGUAAUUUGAAGAUUGUAACCUUGGGGUUGGCUCUUGUCUAUGUUUCUUGGAACAGGACGUCACAGAGGGUGAGAAUCCCGUGCGAUGAGAUGCCCAAUUCUAUGUAAGGUGCUUUCGAAGAGUCGAGUUGUUUGGGAAUGCAGCUCUAAGUGGGUGGUAAAUUCCAUCUAAAGCUAAAUAUUGGCGAGAGACCGAUAGCGAACAAGUACAGUGAUGGAAAGAUGAAAAGAACUUUGAAAAGAGAGUGAAAAAGUACGUGAAAUUGUUGAAAGGGAAGGGUUUGAGAUCAGACUCGAUAUUUUGUGAGCCUUGCCUUCGUGGCGGGGUGACCCGCAGCUUAUCGGGCCAGCAUCGGUUUGGGCGGUAGGAUAAUGGCGUAGGAAUGUGACUUUACUUCGGUGAAGUGUUAUAGCCUGCGUUGAUGCUGCCUGCCUAGACCGAGGA